rnacentral:rRNA from 1 species
CAAGUCGAGCGAGAACCGGUCCUUCGGGACCGGGGAAAGCGGCGAACGGGUGAGUAACACGUGAGUAAUCCACCCUCGGCACUGGGAUAGCCCGGGGAAACCCGGAUUAAUACCGGAUGGCCCAACAGCUCUUCGGGGCGGUUGGAAAAGGUAGCUUUGGCCUCCGGCCGAGGACGAGCUCGCGGCGGAUUAGCUUGUUGGUGGGGUAAUGGCCUACCAAGGCGACGAUCCGUAGCUGGUCUGAGAGGACGAUCAGCCACACUGGGACUGAGACACGGCCCAGACUCCUACGGGAGGCAGCAGUGGGGAAUAUUGGACAAUGGGCGAAAGCCUGAUCCAGCAAUGCCGCGUGAGUGAUGAAGGCCCUAGGGUUGUAAAGCUCUUUUACCCGGGAAGAUAAUGACUGUACCGGGAGAAUAAGCCCCGGCUAACUCCGUGCCAGCAGCCGCGGUAAUACGUAGGGGGCAAGCGUUGUCCGGAUUUAUUGGGCGUAAAGAGCGUGUAGGCGGCCAGACAAGUCUGCUGUGAAAACUCGAGGCUCAACCUCGAGCUGUCGGUGGAAACUGUCUGGCUAGAGUCCGGUAGGGGAGUGUGGAAUUCCCGGUGUAGCGGUGAAAUGCGCAGAUAUCGGGAGGAGCACCAGUAGCGAAGGCGGCACUCUGGGCCGGUACUGACGCUGAGGAGCGAAAGCGUGGGGAGCGAACAGGAUUAGAUACCCUGGUAGUCCACGCCGUAAACGUUGGGCACUAGGUGUGGGACUCUAUCGACGGGUUCCGUGCCGAAGCUAACGCAUUAAGCGUCCCGCCU